rnacentral:rRNA from 1 species
AUUGAACGCUGGCGGCAGGCCUAACACAUGCAAGUAGGACGCAGUUGCGAACGGGUGAGUAACGCGUCGGUAACUGCCUAUUAGAGGGGGAUAACUAUUGGAAACGAUAGCUAAUACCGCAUACUAGUAGAUGGACCUGCGUUGUAUUAGCUAGUAGGUAGGGUAAUGGUCUACCUAGGCGACGAUACAUAGCCGAGCUGAGAGGGUGGUCGGCCACACUGGGACUGUGACAAGGCCCAGACGCCUACGGGCGGCAGCAGUAGGGAAUCUUCGGCAAAGGGGGGAACCCUGACCGAGCCACGCCGCGUGAGUGAAGAAGGUUUUCGGAUCGUAAAGCUCUGUUGUUAAGGAAGCGGUACUUAACCAGAAAGGGACGGCUAACUACGUGCCAGCAGCCGCGGUAAUAC